GACGAACGCUGGCGGCGUGCUUAACACAUGCAAGUCGAACGGAAAGGCCUGCUUUCCCUUGUGGAUUGCGGGUACUCGAGUGGCGAACGGGUGAGUAACACGUGAGUGAUCUGCCCCCAACUUGGGUAUAAGCCUGGGAAACUGGGUCUAAUUCCCGAUAGGACUGCAGGGUGGUGCCUGUGGUGGAAAACGAUUUUCUAGUGGUUGGGGAUGAGCUCGCGGCCUAUCAGCUUGUUGGUGGGGUAAUGGCCUACCAAGGCGGCGACGGGUAGCCGGCCUGAGGGGGGGGACGGCCAAAUUGGGACUGGGAGACGGCCCAGACUCCUAGGGGGGGCAGCGGGGGGGAAUAUUGCAAAAUGGGGGGAAGCCUGAUGCAGCGCCGCCGCGGGGGGGGGGACGGCCUUGGGGUUGUAAACCCCUUUCGACCGCGGGGAAGCCACCUGGUUGGAAGGGGGGUGAGGGUGGGGGUAGAAGAAGCACCGGCUAACUACGU
rnacentral:rRNA from 1 species